UGCUGCUUACAGCCCUAUUCCUGAAGCCAUGACUUCCUUUAUUUCUAAAAUAUUUUACUGCUGUUUGAAGUACCACAUAUGCUUUCUAAAAAGCCACUGAAUGACACACUCCAGUCCUAUUCUAACCCUUUUUGCUUUGUAGGGUCAAUGAUUCUCAGUCAGUGUGAGAUGGUGAAAUGGCAGUUGGAGCAUGAAAUUUUCUGCAGUUUUAGUAUGUGUGUGAAGUUACAUGGAGAAACCAGGGAUUCAAGAAAUAACAGUGGCAUGGAGCAAUGGUGUUGUCCUGAUUCGAGGAAAAAAACCAAAGCUUGAAAAUUUGUAUGAUGUGAGUUACGUGAACUGUGGACUGUUCUUACCAUUUUAUUCUCAUUCCGCGGUGAACUUACAAAUUGCAAAAGAUGGCAAAUGGGAGAGUCCAGUGUUGAUGACUUCCUAACAAGAAGAGCCCCAAAAACCAGGAAUUGUGCUAUAAAGCACAAUGCAGUUACAGCACUCUGAGGAAAAGAAAUGUGUAUUUCAGGCUUGUGGUGCUCUCCCGACUCCUUCAUGUGACAUCAAAAAAGAAACUGCUGAGGGGAUGAAGUGGGAGCUGGAGAACUGAAGCCCAAUUGAUUCUGCAGUUCUGUGAAACACAAUCCCAAAGGGGUCAAAACCUCACCUAUUCUGGGCAUUGGACCAUGCACAGAUCCUCUGCUGCAGAUGCGAGCUCAUCUUCCACACAUCUGGUGCCCAAAACCACACACAGGACUCAAGGUGAGACCACUGCAGAGCAGAGCGGGACCAUCGCCUUCCCUGACCGGCGGUUCCCGGCGGCAGCAGACGCUGUUCGGCCGCCGGCUCUGCCCGGGCGGC